ensembl:lincRNA
AUGCAGGUGUUCUUUAUACAUUUUCCUACAGGGCUCCUCUGUGGAGAAAUCCGAAAAGCAUAUGUAGAAUUUGUCAAUGUCAGCAAAUGUCCACUUACUGGAUUGAAGGUUGUUUCUAAACGUCCAGAGUUCUUUACUUUCGGUGGUAAUACUGCUGUUCUAACACCACUGAGUCCCUCAGCUUCUGAAAAUUGUAGUGCUUACAAGACUGUUGUGACAGAUGCUACCUCUGUGUGUACAGCACUCAUAUCAUCAGCUUCUUCUGUAGACUUUGGCAUUGGCACAGGAAGUCAACCAGAGGUGAUUCCUGUUCCCCUUCCUGACACUGUUCUUCUACCUGGAGCCUCAGUGCAGCUGCCGAUGUGGUUACGUGGGCCUGAUGAAGAAGGUGUCCAUGAAAUUAACUUUUUGUUUUACUAUGAAAGUGUCAAAAGGCAGCCAAAAAUACGGCACAGAAUAUUAAGACACACUGCGAUUAUUUGUACCAGUCGGUCUUUAAAUGUACGGGCCACUGUCUGCAGAAGUAAUUCUCUUGAAAAUGAAGAAGGCAGAGGAGGCAAUAUGCUAGUCUUUGUGGAUGUGGAAAAUACCAAUACUAGUGAAGCAGGUGUUAAGGAAUUCCAUAUAGUGCAAGUAUCAAGUAGUAGCAAACACUGGAAGUUACAGAAAUCUGUAAAUCUUUCUGAAAACAAAGAUGCCAAACUUGCCAGUAGGGAGAAGGGAAAGUUUUGCUUUAAGGCAAUCAGAUGUGAGAAAAAAGAAGCGGCCACACAGUCCUCUGAAAAAUAUACCUUUGCAGAUAUCAUCUUUGGAAAUGAACAGAUAAUAAGUUCAGCAAGCCCGUGUGCAGACUUCUUUUAUCGAAGUUUAUCUUCUGAAUUGAAAAAACCACAAGCUCACUUGCCUGUGCAUACAGAAAAACAGUCAACAGAGGAUGCUGUGAGAUUGAUUCAAAAAUGCAGUGAGGUGGAUUUGAAUAUUGUCAUAUUAUGGAAGGCAUAUGUUGUGGAAGAUAGUAAACAGCUUAUUUUGGAAGGUCAACAUCAUGUUAUUCUUCGCACUAUAGGAAAAGAAGCCUUUUCAUAUCCUCAGAAACAGGAACCACCAGAAAUGGAACUAUUGAAAUUUUUCAGGCCAGAAAACACUACAGUUUCCUCAAGACCAUCAGUAGAGCAGCUUUCUAGUCUCAUUAAAACGAGUCUUCAUUACCCAGAAUCAUUUAAUCAUCCAUUUCAUCAAAAAAGCCUUUGUUUAGUACCAGUCACCCUUUUGCUUUCCAAUUGUUCUAAGGCUGAUGUAGAUGUCAUAGUUGAUCUUCGGCAUAAAACAACAAGUCCAGAAGCACUGGAAAUCCAUGGGUCAUUCACGUGGCUUGGACAAACACAAUAUAAACUUCAACUUAAAAGCCAGGAGAUUCAUAGUCUGCAGCUGAAAGCGUGCUUUGUUCAUACAGGUGUUUAUAACCUUGGAACUCCUAGGGUAUUUGCCAAGUUAUCGGACCAAGUUACAGUGUUUGAAACAAGUCAGCAGAAUUCCAUGCCUGCCCUGAUCAUCAUCAAUAAAUACAAAUUUUCCUGUCUUGCUUCACACAGUUCCUUAAAAUCAGUUUUGAACUUUGGUCAUAGAGUCUUCAUAUUUCAGUAUCUGGUGGUCCCUAUGGCUUAUACAUAACUUUGUAAAAAGAAAAAAAAAAUUUUUCUGAUGCUUUGAAUAUAGUUUUGAAAGGAGUUUUGACUUUUUUCCCCCUCAUUCAUCUCAGUAGAGUGUACUAUUUCACAAUACAAUUUUUGUCAUUAAAAUUAUCAUAUUCUUUAUUAUAUAACGUUAACAAUUGAGUUGAUCUGUUUAAAAUAUAAAUCUCAAGUUAAUUAAAAAUAAGCUUUUCAAAAAUGUAUUAUAUUUAUAACAAAUGUACUGUAAAUAGAAUAAAGACAUGCUAUUCACUGUAUAGAGUAUCUGUUGAUUAGAAAGUCUGGUUUCAAAAUAACUUUUUAUUCAGCGAAUGGGCAUUUGGACAUAGGAAAGUUCAAUUCAGCCCUGCUGCAGAUAAAGAAAUGGGAGCAAGGGUGUUUCAAAUGAAGCUCUCUUGUAAUUGGAGAAGGAGGGAAGACAGGGUGUAGGGGUGGGUGGCAGGGAGUACAAGAGCCAGGGUCAGCCAAGUCUGGAGCAGAUGGGGUCCUUGUGCCAUUGACAGCUACCAUGGUUUGUUCCAUCUCAAUCCCGGCACUAAUCAGAGCAUACCGCACCAAAGUGGGGAGAGAUCAAAAGACCCCGUUUUCAGACAGAAGAUUCCAAACUUGUACUUGAAACAACUCUUCUUGAGAGAGGGGUGGUUAGUCUGUGUGCCUCUCUGCAACUGCUGCUUAUGCUUCUGGAUCUAAAGUGGGUCUCUGGCUUCUCAGCUCCUUCCACUCUGUGUCUUAGCAGGUGUGGGACAAGGUGGAGAGGAAGGUCACAUUCUAAGGACACUCAUUCCCUUCUUGAGAGUUUAGGGCCAUGGGCUUAUAAAAAAGUCUGAGGAGCAAAGGAAUAACAAGAAUGAGAAGGAGGCAUAAUCACAGUGGUAUCUCAUAUUUAAACCACUCAGCUGAAUAUUAAAUUGAACAGAUUGUUAGACACUAAUAAAAAAAUUAAACUACAUAAACCUACAACUGAAUAUAUUAAAAGUAAAGGUAAUAAAGCACUCAAAAUUACCUUGUAAAUAUUACUCAAGAUUAUUUCUAUUGCAUCUGUAUCCUGGAAAUAUGUAAUGGUGUGUUUCUGCUCAUCUCUUGCCAACCCCGCAUUCAGUGACUUGCUGGUAGCUUGAAAUCGAUAAUAGUGGAAUGUUUACCUCAGGAAAAUCGGCAAAUGCUAUACACCAGGGCUUGAUUUAUUUUUGUUGUCUAUGCUAGACCUAAGAAAGUGUUGGAGAAAAUGUUAGUGAUGCGUAUUAAAUUUAAAAGUGUUGCGUAUUUGUAGCUAUUAGGAGUAGCACAAAUAGUUUAGGAAAAUAUUCCUGCAGUAUCUGAAAAGUGUUAACACUUUUCAACUGUUAACCCAGUUCAACAAAGAAGUUGCCUAUAUCACUGAUGAACUAGUGAAGAUCCAACAUGUGUUUUCUCACUUCCUCUUCCUCCUUAAUAGAAACAAAAAUAUCAACCAGCAUUCAUACUAAAAUUAUUCUUGCUUAUCAGUUGCAACAUAGGUUUGUUUUCUAUACAAGAGCUCAGCAAAAAUCAAACUACCCUGAGAAUCAAUUGACUUUUUGGAAUUUACAAAAGAGUAUUGCAUAUUUUAUUUUACUUGUAAAGUGUGUGCUAUACAAACUUUACACAAACGCAGUUUAAAAGAUUUUUUUUUCCCCCUGGAGAAUAAUUUGAUAAACAUUCAUCAGCGUACCUCUGGGCGUAGACCAUGAGAAAUAUUCUGACGUCUACAUUGCAGUUGGCCAAGAACUAAGGAAUCUUAUGGAAUCUUCCAGCUUUUAGAACCCAGUAGAGCAGUGGUUCUCAAAAUGUAGGCACAUAAUCAUUAGGGCAUUACUAAAAGUGUAAUAACAGAGGUUCUACCUCCUUAACCCAAUUUUGUUGGUCUGGUUUGGGGAUGAAACUUUGUUUUUGUUGUGAAUUUCCAUUUGUUUUCAAGUCUGGAUUUUAACAAGCCCCGGUUCUGAAGAAAGGAUCUGCAUGGUACACUUUGGGAAACAUUGUCCCAGGAAGCCUGAGAAGCACUUUAUAACGUCGAUUGAAUUGUCAGGCACAUCAUGGAAAUGUUAAUCUUUCAAAGUUCUAGGUAGCUAGGCCAGUGUUUUAAACACAUGCCCCUAAGAUAUUGAUUUGUUCAAAGAGUAAUUUUCUACUUCAAGGAUAUUGAAAUAUUGAGUUUCUGGUAGCUCAUUUGUUCAGUUAGGUUAAACAUUUAAUAAGGCUGGGGUUGACAAUCUCAGCUUGCCUAUCAAUUUUAUUAUUUCUUGGCUAUUGAUCAGAACUAUGAACUCUUACAAAGGUUUUGGUGUUGGUUGGCCUAUUUUGCCAUUCACAAUUAUUAGGUUCUUUUGGGCAGAUACAUGCAGUCCCUACUAGGUAUAGGUAGAUGAGAGUUAUAGAUAAGAUGACCACAUAAGUUUUCAUCCCAAAUGAGACAUUUUGAGAAUGAAGGAGGGCACUAUUAACAAUUACAAUUAUGGGGACAAUGGGAUAAACUGGGUCUGUUCUGGGCACCGAGAUGUAGGGGCCAAGGGAACGCUUCCCCUCUGCCUUCAAAAUGUUCACUGAAAAUAAACUGACAAUAAGCGGAUAUAGAAAAAGGCAUGUGAAACUUAUUUAACCUGCUUAAGCACAGGGGAGUCACAUGAGAAUGAUUUCCCAGUAACCCAGUGAGGUCCAGAUGCUACUAUACACUUCACAGGGGAAAGGGAGACUUGAGGUGUGGCAAUUUUGAGGAGUAGUAAAUGAUUGUUAGUGGAGGUGAAUGAACCUGGAGGCAGUAACCUGUAAAUGAUUCUCUUUGGAAUUUGAAUGAGCCCAAGAGGCAAACAUUGUCAGGCCUCUGAGCCCAAGCUAAGCCAUAAUAUCCCCUGUGACCUGCAUAUAUACAUCCAGAUGGCCUGAAGCAACUGAAGAAUCACAAAAGAAGUGAAAAUGGCCGGUUCCUGAUGACAUUACCUUGUGAAAUUCCUUCUGCUGGCUCAGAAGCUCCCUGACUGAGCACCUUGUGACCCCUGCCCCUGCCUGCCAGAGAACAUCGCCUUUGACUGUAAUUUUCCACUACCCACCCAAAUCCUAUAAAACGGCCCCACCCCCAUCUACCUUUACUGACUCUCUUUUCGGACUCAGCCCACCUGCACCCAGGUGAAAUAAACAGCCUUGUUCCUCACACAAAGCCUGUUUGGUGGUCUCUUCACAUGGACGCACAUGACAUUUGGUGCCACAGACCCGGACUUCUUUGGGACACCAGUCCCCUGUCCUCUCCCUCACUCUGUGAGGAGAUCCACCUACAACCUCGAGUCCUCAGACCAACUAGCCCAAGGAACAUCUCACCAAUUUCAAAUCGGGUAAGCUGUCUUUUCACCUCUUCUCCAGCCUCUCUUGCUACCCUUCAAUCUUCCUCUCUCACUACCCUUCAGUCUCCCUGUCCUUCCAAUUCCAGUUCUUUUUCCUCUCUAUUAGAGACAAAGGAGACACGUUUUAUCCAUGGACCCAAAACUCCAGCACCAGUCACAGACUCAAGAAGACAGUCUUCCCUUGGUGUUUAAUCAUGCAGGGACGCCUGCCUGAUCAUUCACCCACACUCCACCGGUGUCUGAUCACCACGGGGACGCCUGCCUGAUCAUUCACCCACACUCCACCGGUGUCUGAUCACCGCGGGGACGCCUGCCUGACUAUUCACCCACACUCCACCGGUGUCUGAUCACCGCCGGGACGCCUGCCUGACUAUUCACCCACACUCCACCGGUGUCUGAUCACCGCGGGGACGCCUGCCUGAUCAUUCACCCACACUCCACCGGUGUCUGAUCACCGCGGGGACGCCUGCCUUGAUCAUUCACCCACAUUCCCUUGGUGGCAAGUCAAUUGGAGGGACACGUGCUUUAGCUGCUCACCACCCCCCUUCUCCGUGUCUCUACCCUCUCUUUUCUCUUGGCUUGCCUCCUUCACUAUGGGCAACCUUCCACCCUCCAUUCCCGCUUCUUCUCCCUUAGCCUGUG